rnacentral:rRNA from 1 species
UACAGAGGGUGCGAGCGUUAAUCGGAAUUACUGGGCGUAAAGGGCGCGUAGGCGGUGUAUUAAGUUAGAUGUGAAAUCCCUGGGCUUAACCUAGGAACUGCAUCUGAUACUGAUACGCUAGAGUGCGGUAGAGGAUAGUGGAAUUUCCGGUGUAGCGGUGAAAUGCGUAGAUAUCGGAAGGAACACCAGUGGCGAAGGCGGAUCUCUGGGCCUUACCUGACGCUGAGGCGCGAAAGCUAGGGAGCGAACGAGGA